GGGGCGGUAGCUCAAUUGGUAGAGCACUAGCUUUGCAAGCUAGGGGUUGCCGGUUCGAGUCCGGUCCGCUCCA
rnacentral:tRNA from 2 species